UACGUAGGGUGCAAGCGUUAAUCGGAAUUACUGGGCGUAAAGCGUGCGCAGGCGGUUUUGUAAGUCUGUCGUGAAAGCCCCGGGCUUAACCUGGGAAUUGCGAUGGAGACUGCAAGGCUUGAAUCUGGCAGAGGGGGGUAGAAUUCCACGUGUAGCAGUGAAAUGCGUAGAGAUGUGGAGGAACACCGAUGGCGAAGGCAGCCCCCUGGGUCAAGAUUGACGCUCAUGCACGAAAGCGUGGGAGCAAACAGG
rnacentral:rRNA from 1 species